rnacentral:rRNA from 1 species
AGAGUUUGAUCCUGGCUCAGAUUGAACGCUGGCGGCAUGCCUUACACAUGCAAGUCGAACGGCAGCACGGGUGCUUGCACCUGGUGGCGAGUGGCGAACGGGUGAGUAAUACAUCGGAACAUGUCCUGUAGUGGGGGAUAGCCCGGCGAAAGCCGGAUUAAUACCGCAUACGAUCUACGGAUGAAAGCGGGGGACCUUCGGGCCUCGCGCUAUAGGGUUGGCCGAUGGCUGAUUAGCUAGUUGGUGGGGUAAAGGCCUACCAAGGCGACGAUCAGUAGCUGGUCUGAGAGGACGACCAGCCACACUGGGACUGAGACACGGCCCAGACUCCUACGGGAGGCAGCGGUGGGGAAUUUUGGACAAUGGGCGAAAGCCUGAUCCAGCAAUGCCGCGUGUGUGAAGAAGGCCUUCGGGUUGUAAAGCACUUUUGUCCGGAAAGAAAUCCUUGGCUCUAAUACAGUCGGGGGAUGACGGUACCGGAAGAAUAAGCACCGGCUAACUACGUGCCAGCAGCCGCGGUAAUACGUAGGGUGCGAGCGUUAAUCGGAAUUACUGGGCGUAAAGCGUGCGCAGGCGGUUUGCUAAGACCGAUGUGAAAUCCCCGGGCUCAACCUGGGAACUGCAUUGGUGACUGGCAGGCUAGAGUAUGGCAGAGGGGGGUAGAAUUCCACGUGUAGCAGUGAAAUGCGUAGAGAUGUGGAGGAAUACCGAUGGCGAAGGCAGCCCCCUGGGCCAAUACUGACGCUCAUGCACGAAAGCGUGGGGAGCAAACAGGAUUAGAUACCCUGGUAGUCCACGCCCUAAACGAUGUCAACUAGUUGUUGGGGGAUUCAUUUCCUUAGUAACGUAGCUAACGCGUGAAGUUGACCGCCUGGGGGAGUACGGUCGCAAGAUUAAAACUCAAAGGAAUUGACGGGGACCCGCACAAGCGGUGGAUGAUGUGGAUUAAUUCGAUGCAACGCGAAAAACCUUACCUACCCUUGACAUGGUCGGAAUCCCGCUGAGAGGUGGGAGUGCUCGAAAGAGAACCGGCGCACAGGUGCUGCAUGGCUGUCGUCAGCUUGUGUCGUGAGAUGUUGGGUUAAGUCCCGCAACGAGCGCAACCCUUGUCCUUAGUUGCUACGCAAGAGCACUCUAAGGAGACUGCCGGUGACAAACCGGAGGAAGGUGGGGAUGACGUCAAGUCCUCAUGGCCCUUAUGGGUAGGGCUUCACACGUCAUACAAUGGUCGGAACAGAGGGUUGCCAACCCGCGAGGGGGAGCUAAUCCCAGAAAACCGAUCGUAGUCCGGAUUGCACUCUGCAACUCGAGUGCAUGAAGCUGGAAUCGCUAGUAAUCGCGGAUCAGCAUGCCGCGGUGAAUACGUUCCCGGGUCUUGUACACACCGCCCGUCACACCAUGGGAGUGGGUUUUACCAGAAGUGGCUAGUCUAACCGCAAGGAGGACGGUCACCACGGUAGGAUUCAUGACUGGGGUGAAGUCGUAACAAGGUA